AAACCAACAGGGAUUGCCUCAGUAACGGCGAGCGAAGCGGCAAAAGCUCAAAUUUGAAAGCUAGCGUCUUUUAGGCGUUCGCAUUGUAAUUUGAAGAUGGCAACUUUGGUGGCGGCUCUUGCACAUGUUCCUUGGAACAGGACAUCAUAGAGGGUGAGAAUCCCGUACAUGGUGAGAGUACCGUCGCUUUGUAAAGUGCCUUCUAAGAGUCGAGUUGUUUGGGAAUGCAGCUCUAAGUGGGUGGUAAAUUCCAUCUAAGGCUAAAUAUAGGCGAGAGACCGAUAGCGAACAAGUACAGUGAUGGAAAGAUGAAAAGAACUUUGAAAAGAGAGUGAAAAAGUACGUGAAAUUGUUGAAAGGGAAGGGCUUGAGAUCAGUCUUGGCUUGUAGUGAUCAACUGUCUUUCGGGACUGUGCACUCGCUACUUGCUGGGUCAGCAUCAGUUUUGGUGGUAGGAUAAGAACAAUUGAAUGUGGCUUGCCUUCGGGGAAGUGUUAUAGCUUUUGUUGAUACUGCCAACCGGGACUGAGGACCGCGCUUCGUG
rnacentral:rRNA from 1 species